rnacentral:rRNA from 1 species
UACGUAGGGGGCAAGCGUUGUCCGGAAUCAUUGGGCGUAAAGAGCGCGUAGGCGGUCCGGUAAGUCCGCUCUGAAAGCCCGGGGCUCAACCCCGGGAGGCGGGCGGAUACUGUCGGGCUAGAGUCCGGAAGAGGCGAGUGGAAUUCCUGGUGUAGCGGUGAAAUGCGCAGAUAUCAGGGGGAACACCGAUGGCGAAGGCAGCUCGCUGGGACGGUACUGACGCUGAGGCGCGAAAGCGUGGGGAGCAAACAGG